CGUGCGAACCUGAAUUGUCCGAUUUCAAGGACCAAUCGAUAUCGGAUUGAGUCCAAAACUUGGGGAACAUCAUAAUAUGGUGGGAGGAGUCAUUUAGUGGGUUUUGAGUGAAAUCCAAUCCCUAGAACUAUACAAUACACCAACCACUCCAUUUCAAAACGAACUCGUACGAACCUGAAUUGUCAAAUUUCGUGGACCGAUCGAUAUCGGAUUGAGUCCAAAACUUGGGGAACAUCAUAAUAUUGUGGGAGGAGUCAUUUGGUGGGUUUUGAGUGAAAUCCAAUCUCUAGAACUAUACAAUACACCAAGCACCUCAUUUCAGAACGAAUUUCGUACGAACCUGAAUCCUCCGAUUUCAAGGACCAAUCGAUAUCGGAUUGAAUCCAAACCUUGGGGAACAUCAUAAUAUUGUGGGAGGAGUCAUUUGGUGGGUUUUGAGUGAAAUCCAAUCUCUAGAACUAGACAAUACACCAACCACCCCAUUUCCGAACGAACUUCGUACGAACCUGAAUUGUCCGAUUUCAAGGACCACUCGAUAUCGGAUUGAGUCCAAAACUUGGGGAACAUCAUAAUACUGUGGGAGGAGUCAUUUAGUUGGUUUUGAGUGAAAUCCAAUCCCUAGAACUACGCAAUACACCAACCACUCCAUUUCAGAACGAACUUCGUACGAACCUGAAUUGUCCGAUUUCAAGGACCAAUCUAUAUCGGAUUGAGUCCAAAACUUGGGGAACAUCAUAAUAUUGUGGGACGAGUCAUUUGGUGGGUUUUGAGUGAAAUCCAAUAUCUAGAACUAUACAAUACACCAACCACCCCAUUUAUGAACGAACUUCGUACAAACCUGAAUUGUCCGAUUUCAAGGACCAAUCGACAUCGGAUUGAGUCUAAAACUUGGGGAACAUAAUAAUAUUGUGGGAGGAGUCAUUUGAUGGGUUUUGAGUGAAAUCCAAUCUCUAGAACCAUACAAUACACCAACCACCCCAUUUCAGAACGAACUUCGUACGAACCUGAAUUGUCCGAUUUCAAGGACCAAUCGAUAUCGGAUUGAGUCCAAAACUUGGGCAACAUCAUAAUAUUGUGGGAGUUGUCAUUUGAUGGGUUUUGAUUGAAAUCCAAUCCCUAGAACUAUACAAUACACCAACCACACCAUUUCAGAACGAACUUCGUACGAACCUGAAUUGUCCGAAACUUGGGGAACAUCAUAAUAUUGUGCGAGGAGUCAUUUGGUGGGUUUUGACUGAAAUCCAAUCACUAGAACUAUACAAUACACCAACCACCCCAUUUAUAAACGAACUUCGUAGGAAUCUGAAUUGUCCGAUUUCAAGGACCAAUCGAUAUCGGAUUGAGUCCAAAACUUGGGGAACAUCAUAAUAUUGUGGGAGGAGUCAUUUGGUGGGUUUUGAGUGAAAUCCAAUCUCUAUAACUAUACAAUACACCAACAACCCUAUUUAUGAACGAACUUCGUAUGAACCUGAAUUGUCCGAUUUCAAAGACCACUCGAUAUCGGAUUGAGUCCAAAACUUGGGAACAUCAUAAUAUUGUGGGAGGAGUCAUUUGGUGGGUUUUGAGUGAAAUCCAUCCUCUAGAACUAUACAAUACACCAACCACCCCAUUUCAGAACGAACUUCGUACGAACCUGAAUUGUUCGAUUUCAAGGACCAAUCGAUAUCGGAUUGCGUCCAAAACUUGGGGAACAUCAUAAUAUUGUGGGAGUCAUUUGGUGGGUUUUGAGUGAAAUUCAAUCUCUAGAACUAUACAAUACACCAACCACCCCAUUUCAGAACGAACUUCGUACGAACCUGAAUUGUCCGAUUUCAAGGACCGAUCGACAUCGGAUUGAGUCCAAAACUUGCGGAACAUCAUAAUAUUGUGGGAGGAGUCAUUUCGUGGGUUUUGAGCAAAAUCCAAUCUCUAGAACAAUACAAUACACCAACCACCCCACUUCAGAACGAACUUCAUACGGACCUGAAUUGUCCGAUUUCAAGGACCAAUCGAUAUCGGAUUGAGUCCAAAACUUGGGGAACAUCAUAAUAUUGUGGGAGGAGUUAUUUGGAGGGUUUUGAGUGAAAUCCAAUCUCUUGAACGAUACAAUACACCAACCACCCCAUUUAAUAACGAACUUCGUACGAACCUGAAUUGUCCGAUUUCAAGGACCAAUCGACAUCGGAUUGAGUCCAAAACUUGGGGAACAUCAUAACAUUGUGGGAGGAGUCAUUUGGUGGGUUUUGAGUGAAAUCCAAUCUCUAGAACUAUACAAUACACCAACCACCCCCUUUCAUAACGAAAUUUCGUACGAACCUGAAAUUGUCCGAUUUCAGGGACCAAUCGACAUCGGAUUGGAGUCCAAAACUUGGGGAACAUGAUAAUAUUGUGGGAGGAGUCCAUUUGGGUGGGUUUUGAGUGAAAUCCAAUCUCGAGAACUAUACGAACCCCAACGACUCCAUUUCAGAACGAACUUCGUACGAACCUGAAUUGUCUAAUUUUUGGGCCCGAUCGAUAACGGAUUGAGUCCAAAACGUGGGGAACAUCAUAAUAUUAUGGGAGGAGUCAUUUGGUGGGUUUUCAGUGAAAUCGAAUGCCUAGAACUAUACAAUACACCAACCACUCCAUUUCAGAACGAACUUCGUACGAACCUGAAUUGUCAAAUUUCGUGCACCGAUCGAUAUCAGAUUGAGUCCAAAACUCGGGGAACAUCAUAAUAUUGUGGGAGGAGUCAUUUGGUGGGUUUUGAGUGAAAUCCAAUCUCUAGAACUAGACAAUACACCAACCACCCCAUUUCCGUACGAACUUCGUACGAACCUGAAUUGUCCGAUUUCAAGGACCACUCGAUAUCGGAUUGAGUCCAAAACUUGGGGAACAUCAUAAUACUAUGGGAGGAGUCAUUUAGUUGGUUUUGAGUGAAAUCCAAUCCCUAGAACUACGCAAUACACCAACCACUCCAUUUCAGAACGAACUUCGUACGAACCUGAAUUGUCCGAUUUCAAGGACCACUCGAUAUCGGAUUGAGUCCAAAACUUGGGGAACAUCAUAAUACUGUGGGAGGAGUCAUUUAGUUGGUUUUGAGUGAAAUCCAAUCCCUAGAACUAUACAAUACACCAACCACUCCAUUUCAGAACGAACUUUGUACGAACCUGAAUUGUCAAAUUUCGUGGACCGAUCGAUAUCGGAUUGAGUCCAAAACUUAGGGAACAUCACAAUAUUGUAGGAGGAGUCAUUUGGCGGGUUUUGAGUGAAAUCCAAUCUCUAGAACUAUACAAUACACCAACCACCCCAUUUCAGAACGAACUUCGUACGAACCUGAAUUGUCUGAUUUCAAGGACCGAUCGAUAUCGGAUUGAGUUCCAAAACUUGGGGAACAUCAUAAUAUUGUGGGAGGAGUCAUUUGGUGGGUUUUGAGUGAAAUACAAUCCCUAGAACAAUACAAUACACCAACCAGCCCAUUUCAGAACGAACUCCGUACGAACUUGAAUUGUCAAAUUUCGUGGACCGAUCGAUAUCGGAUUGAGUCCAAAACUUGGGGAACAUCAUAAUAUUGUGGGAGGAGUCAUUUGGUGGGUUUUGAGUGAAAUCCAAUCUCUAGAACUAUACGAUACACCAACGACCCCAUUUCAGAACGAACUUCGUACGAACCUGAAUUGUCUAAUUUCGUGGACCGAUCGAUAACGGAUUGAGUCCAAAACGUGGGGAACAUCAUAAUAUUAUGGGAGGAGUCAUUUGGUGGGUUUUCAGUGAAAUCGAAUGCCUAGAACUAUACAAUACACCAACCACUCCAUUUCAGAACGAACUUCGUACGUACUUGAAUUGUCAAAUUUCGCGGACCGAUUGAUAUCGGAUUGAGUCCAAAACUUGGGGACAUCAUAAUAUUGUGGGAGGAGUCAUUUGGUGGGUUUUGAGUGAAAUCCAAUCUCUAGAACUAGAGAAUACACCAACCACCCCAUUUCAGAACGAACUUCGUACGAACCUGAAUUGUCCGAUUCCAAGGACCACUCGAUAUCGGAUUGAGUCCAAAACUUGGGAAACAUCAUAAUACUGUGGGAGGAGUCAUUUAGUUGGUUUUGAGUGAAAUCCAAUCCCUAGAACUAUGCAAUACACCAACCACUCCAUUUCAGAACGAACUUCGUACGAACCUGAAUUGUCCGAUUUCAAGGACCACUCGAUAUCGGAUUGAGUCCAAAACUUGGGGAACAUCAUAAUACUGUGGGAGGAGUCAUUUAGUUGGUUUUGAGUGAAAUCCAAUCCCUAGAACUAUACAAUACACCAACCACUCCAUUUCAGAACGAACUUUGUACGAACCUGAAUUGUCAAAUUUCGUGGACCGAUCGAUAUCGGAUUGAGUCCAAAACUUAGGGAACAUCACAAUAUUGUAGGAGGAGUCAUUUGGCGGGUUUUGAGUGAAAUCCAAUCUCUAGAACUAUACAAUACACCAACCACCCCAUUUCAGAACGAACUUCGUACGAACCUGAAUUGUCUGAUUUCAAGGACCGAUCGAUAUCGGAUUGAG
rnacentral:lncRNA from 1 species